rnacentral:RNase_P_RNA from 1 species
CCUGUGCAUCGCUCCACCGUUCCGCUCGCUGCAAGGCGAUCGGAGAGGAAAGUCCGGGCAGCGUAGGGCAACGUGCUUCCUAACGGGAAGGGCCCAUUUGGGAACGGAUGGCCACAGAAAGUGCCGGAGAAGGGAAACCGCCGAUCGUCGGUGAAUGAAGGCCCGCCUUCGCAAGGUUGGAGGUAAGGAUGGUAAGGUGCGGUAAGAGCGCACCAGUGUCUUGGCGACAGGGCAGCUAGGUAAACCCUCAGCGCGUUGAAAGAACUAGCUAUACCGGGUGUUCCGUAUCGCCGGAACGAGGAAAAAGCCCGUCCUCCCGAUGCAUUUCGGGAUCCGGAGGGUAGGUCGAUGGAUCCCUUAUCGGUGACGACAGGGCUAGAUAGAUGGUGGAAGCUACGCCCGAAAGUAGAGAACAGAACCGGCUUACAGGUGCAGGACUU